GAUGAACGCUGGCGGCGUGCCUAAUACAUGCAAGUAGAACGCUGAAGGAGGAGCUUGCUCUUCUGGAUGAGUUGCGAACGGGUGAGUAACGCGUAGGUAACCUGCCUGGUAGCGGGGGAUAACUAUUGGAAACGAUAGCUAAUACCGCAUGACAACAGUUAUUGCAUGAUAACUGUUUAAAAGGGGCAACUGCUCCACUACCAGAUGGACCUGCGUUGUAUUAGCUAGUUGGUGAGGUAACGGCUCACCAAGGCGACGAUACAUAGCCGACCUGAGAGGGGGAUCGGCCACACUGGGACUGAGACACGGCCCAGACUCCUACGGGAGGCAGCAGUAGGGAAUCUUCGGCAAUGGACGGAAGUCUGACCGAGCAACGCCGCGUGAGUGAAGAAGGUUUUCGGAUCGUAAAGCUCUGUUGUAAGGGAAGAACGAGUGUGAGAGUGGAAAGUUCACGCUGUGACGGUAUCUUACCAGAAAGGGACGGCUAACUACGUG
rnacentral:rRNA from 1 species